rnacentral:rRNA from 1 species
CUGCCCAGUGAUUUUAAACGGCCGCGGUACCCUAACCGUGCAAAGGUAGCAUAAUCAUUUGCCUUUUAAUUGAAGGCUUGUAUGAACGGACAAACGGAAUUCUCCCUGUAUCAUUAUUACAUAUAAAAAUUAGACUUCAGGUGAAGAUACCUGAAUUCCUUUGAAAGACAAGAAGACCCUAUAGAGUUUUAGUUAUACUCCUCCUCUUUACUCCAUAACUUUGGUUGGGGCGACCCAGGAUAAUAAAUAACAUCCUUCUCUUACUAGAGAUAUUUCUCUUUACUAAUGAUCCUUACUCAAGAACAUCAAAAUUAACUACCUUAGGGAUAACAGGCUUAUCUUCCUAGAGAGCUCAAAUUGAUAGGAAGGUUUGGCACCUCGAUGUUGGCUUAAGUAACCCUUUAAUGCAAAAGUUAUUGUUGGUCGGUUUGUUCAACCGUUAAAUCU